GUAUAUAGCCAUACCACCCUCAUCUGAUCUCCAAAACUAAGCAGGGUUGGGCCUGAUUAGUACUUGGAUGGGAGAGAAAACUGUCUUUUAAACC
rnacentral:rRNA from 1 species